rnacentral:rRNA from 1 species
AGCCCAUUAGCUAGCUCAAAACCCAAAAUACAACAACCCACCAUACAUAACCCCGCAUAACCCAACAUGCCCUAAUAAAUCAAAUCAUUUUCCCCCCCAAGUACGGGCGAUAGAAAAGGACCUACGAAGCGAUAGCUAUAGUACCGCAAGGGAACGCUGAAAGAGAAGUGAAACAAGUCAGUAAAGCAUAAAAAAGCAGAGUUUAACCCUCGUACCUUUUGCAUCAUGGUUUAGCAAGAAAGCAUCAAGCACAGAGCCCUUUAGUUUGACUCCCCGAAACCAAGUGAGCUACUCCAAGACAGCCUUAUAGGGCGAACCCGUCUCUGUGGCAAAAGAGUGGGAAGAGCUUUGAGUAGAGGUGACAGACCCAUCGAACUCGGUUAUAGCUGGUUGUCCAAGAAUUGAACAGGAGUUCAGCCUUUUGCCCUCUUCACCCACAUCUGGCUACAACACCAAGCCCCCGAGAGGACCAAAGAGUUAAUCAAAGGGGGCACAGCCCCUUUGAAAAAGACACAACUUUUACCAGAAGGGUUAAGAUCAUAACACAACUAAGGGACUGUGUUCUAGUUGGCCUAAGAGCAGCCACCCAUUCAGAAAGCGUUAAAGCUCAUGCACCCCCUUCCCCCUAUUAUCCGGACCACCCCAUCUUACCCCCCUAAACAUAUUGGACCUCCCCAUACCACUAUGGGAGAGACUAUGCUAAUAUGAGUAAUAAGAGACCCAGACUCUCUCCAAGCAUAAGUGUACAUCGGAUCGAACCGACACCGAGAACUAACGGCCCCAAGAAAUGAGGGAACUGGAGCAUAAUGGCUAAACCACUAGAAAAACGUCCACACCCUGACCGUUAACCUUACACCAGAAUGCAUUCAAGGAAAGACUAAAAGAGAAAGAAGGAACUCGGCA